CCUACGGGAGGCAGCAGUGGGGGAUAUUGCACAAUGGGGGAAACCCUGAUGCAGCGACGCCGCGUGUGGGAAGACGGUCCUCUGGAUUGUAAACCACUGUCCCCAGGGACGAAGAUGACGGUACCUGGGGAGGAAGCUCCGGCUAACUACGUGCCAGCAGCCGCGGUAAUACGUAGGGAGCGAGCGUUGUCCGGAAUUACUGGGUGUAAAGGGAGCGUAGGCGGGACUGCAAGUUGGGUGUCAAAUCUACCGGCUCAACCGGUAGCCGCACUCAAAACUGCAGUUCUUGAGUGAAGUAGAGGCAGGCGGAAGUCCUAGUGUAGCGGUGAAAUACGUAGAUAUUAGGAGGAACACCAGUGGCGAAGGCGGCCUGCUGGGCUUUUACUGACGCUGAGGCUCGAAAGUGUGGGGAGCAAACAGGAUUAGAUACCCUGGUAGUC
rnacentral:rRNA from 1 species